GAGCUAAUGGCAUUGCAAUGACUACAAUGUCUCUUGCUAAAGCAGUUGGUCCAUCUAUAGGUGGUGUAAUGAUUUCUUGGGCACAAACCCGUCUUGGUGCCUCCAUUCUUCCGGGUAUGCAGAUGGUUUUCUUUAUCUUAAAUGUGAUCGAGCUGAUUGGAGUGUUUAUGACGUUCAAACCAUUCUUAACAACGCCAUAAUUGAGAACCAAAUGAAAUAUUAUUGUCUAUUUACAUACAUACAGUAACAUAAAUCCAUAUUGUUUAUGGAUUUUUUUUGUUUGUGCUAGUUUGCUUUGUAUUGUAAGAGAGAGCGCAUUUUCAUAUAUUAAUAUUGAUUGUAAAACUUUGCUGAAUGAAACUUCCAUAUUUUGCCUCAAAA